rnacentral:misc_RNA from 1 species
UGAUCAAAGAUUUUGGCCAAUAAGAAAGCCUCUUUUAUUUGGGUGUUUGCGAGUUCUCUUGACGUGAGAUAUCUCUCAAAAUGGUGAAUGUUCCAAAGAAUCGCCGCACUUACUGCAAGAAGUGCAAGAAGCACAUGAACCAUAAGGUUACCCAGUACAAGGCUGGCAAAGCUUCACUAUACACCCAAGGUAAGAGGCGUUAUGACAGGAAGCAGAUGGGAUAUGGUGGUCAGACCAAGCCUAUCUUCCGUAAGAAGGCCAAGACGACCAAGAAGAUUGUACUGAGGAUGGAGUGCAUGGAUUGUAAAUUCCGCAAACAGCUUCCAAUCAAGAGGUGUAAGCAUUUUGAAUUGGGAGGAGACAAGAAGAGGAAGGGACAAAUGAUCCAGUUUUAAAUGUGCAACAUCCAGAUUAUCAACCGGCCUUCUCGCGUUCAUCUCACCACAUACUUCCCUUCAACCUCGCAAUCGCUCUGGACCUGUCUACCUAUGGUUAUCACCGCCAUGAACCUUCUAUUCCAUCAUCGAUCAUUGUCAUCAGGGAAUUGAUGUCGACGCACUUCCAACUCCAAACAGAUGACCCAUCUGCUGGUUUUGAGGAUAUCCUGUGAAAGCCUGCCAUGUUCUCUAUUUGGAGAUUGUCUUCAUGGAGAAGCUCAGAAGCUCUUGAGGAAGUGGCUUUUCUGUCGGCUAUGGAUGAUAAUAGGUGGGCAGUGAAUAACUUUGAGAACUCUCACCAUAUUGAAUGCAGAUGAAAUCUCACUAAAUCUAUGACAUCUUGGAACAAUGAAUAAAUUUGCAGAUUAUUCGCCACAAAAGUA